rnacentral:rRNA from 1 species
UAAAAAGUUAAAUAAGCGCACACAAAGAAUGCCUUGACAUACUAUACCGAAGAAGGACGUGAGGAGCUGCGAUAAGCUCCGGGGAGCAGCCUACUAUGCUUUGAUCCGGAGAUGUCCGAAUGAGGAAACUCAGCUGGGGUAAUGCCCAGUUGCGCCUGCCUGAAUAUAUAGGGCGGAGACGCGGUAAGCAGGGGAACUGAAACAUCUUAGUACCCUGAGGAAGAGAAAAUAACCAAUGAUUCCGUAAGUAGUGGCGAGCGAAAGCGGAUCAGCCCAAACCUUAAUGACUUUUGCCUGUUAACGUAUGUAUUUAUAUAUAUGAAGACGGCAAAUAAGUUGAUAGACGAAUGUUAUUAGGGGGUUGUAACCAGUAAAUUACCAGUCCUGGGUAGUUCACCUUCGGGUGGAUGACCGGGAUUGGCUAGCAGGUGCUAUCACCAGCCUGCAUAAAGUCAGAAAAUUGUAAUGCGAGCAGAAUAAGUUGGAAAGCUUAGCCAAAGACAGUGAAAGCCUGGUACGUAAAGCGUUACAAACUUUAUCAUUUACUGUGUUGAGUAGGACGGGACACGUGAAACCCUGUUUGAAUCUGGGGGGUCCACCCCCCAAGGCUAAAUAUAUAGUAUGAUCGAUAGUGUACAAGUACCGUGAGGGAAAGGUUAAAAGAACCCCGGAAGGGGAGUGAAAUAGAUCCUGAAAUUGUGUGCGUACAAGGAGUCGGAGCCCCCUCGUGGGGUGACGGCGUGCUUUUUGUAGAACGAUCCAACGAGUUAUUUGUUGCUGCAAGCUUAAGGUAUUUACCGAAGGCAUAGUGAAAGCGAGGCUGAAUAGGCCGAUAAGUAGUAACGAAUAGACCCGAAACCAGGUGACCUAACCAUGGGCAGGCUGAAGCGCAUCUAAAAGUGCGUGGAGGGCCGAACCGUAGCAUGUUUCAAAAUGCCCGGAUGACCUGUGGUUAGAGGUGAAAUGCCAAUCGAACCUGGAGAUAGCUGGUUCUCCUCGAAAUAGCUUUAGGGCUAGCGUCGUACGGUAACAAGUUGGGGUAGAGCUCUGUUUCGGACUGGGGGUCGCAAGAUUACCCACCCUUGACAAACUACGAAUACCAUUUGCGGAACUACGGCAGUUAGAACGGCGGGGCUAAGCUCGUCGCUCAAAAGGGAAACAGCCCAGACCAUCAUCUAAGGUCCCCAAGUCUAUGCUAAGUGGGAAACGAGGUGAGAUUUCUUAAACAACGAGGAUGUUGGCUUAGAAGCAGCCAUUCAUUUAAAGAGUGCGUAACAGCUCACUCGUCAAGAGAUCUUGCGCGGAAAAUGUAACGGGGCUCAAGUAUAGCACCGAAGAUAUGGAUGUGAUGUGACUUCGGUCGCAUUGCGUGGUAGAGGAGCGUUCCUAUCAGCGUUGAAGUUGGACUGCGAGGUCUGGUGGAGCGGUAGGAAGUGAGAAUGUUGGAAUGAGUAACCAUAAGGCAGAUGAGAAUUCUGCCCGCCGAAAGAGCAAGGUUUCCUGGGCCACGGUAAUCGUCCCAGGGUUAGUCGGUCCUAAGCCGAGGCGCGUAGCGUAGGCGAUGGACAACGGGUUAAUAUUCCCGUACUAGUGUGAAAUUGUAUGGCGUGCGCGGCAUAUUAGUCGGAGCGGAUUCAUGGUUAUAUCCGUCUAACCUCGAGAAAUACGAGGGAAUGAAAGAACUUUUAGUUCGAUUCCGGUGACAGUGCUGACUAGAAAAGCAACCUUACUUAUGUUUUUUACUAUCCGUACCGCAAACCGACACAGGUGCUCAGGUCGAGAAGACCAAGGGGUACGAGUGAUUCUUCGUCAAGGAACUCGGCAAACAAGCGGCCGUAACUUCGGAAUAAGGCCUGCCCCCUCACUCUGUUAAUCAGAGUAGGAAGCAAACAUUGUGAGCCAGUUUUCUAACCGAUAGAAACAACUGUAGCUAUCUAAGUUUUUAACUUCUUAGAUAGUCAGUAUAAACGAGUAAUUUUCGAGAUUUUUAAGUUGAUUCAUAUCAAAUAGAAAGCUGACCCCAAUUAACUCCUCCGUCGUGGUUGAUAGAGUGAGGGGGCCGCAGCUAAGGAGCCCAUGCAACUGUUUACCAAAAACAUAGGUCUGUGCUAACACGAAAGUGGAUGUAUACGGGCUGACUCCUGCCCAGUGCUGGAAGGUUAAGGGGAGCUGUUUACGCAGUGAACUGAAGCCCCAGUGAACGGCGGCGGUAACUAUAACCGUCCUAAGGUAGCGAAAUUCCUUGUCAGGUAAGUUCUGACCCGCACGAAUGGCGUAAUGAUAUGGGCACUGUCUCGACGAAGAGCUCGGUGAAAGUGCAUUGACGGUAAAGAUGCCGUCUGUCCGCAGCAGGACGAAAAGACCCCGUGCAGCUUUACUACAGUUUGGCAUUGAGCCGGGGGUACACAUGUGUAGCAUAGGUGAGAGACUUUGAAGCUUAGGCGCUAGCCUAGGCUGAGUCAUCAGUGAAAUAUCACCCUUGUGUACCUCUUGUUCUUACCCGGACCACAAAGCGCCUUUAAUUCCUUUUUUAAGGACUCCAAUUGAAGGUGAUUUCUGGUUCGGGGACCGUGUCUGAUGGGUAGUUUAACUGGGGCGGUUGCCUCCUAAAGAGUAUCGGAGGCGUUCAAAGGUCAGCUAACCACGGAUGGAAAUCGUGGUGAUAGUGUAUACGCAUAAGCUGGCUUGACUGUGAGGGAUACAACCCAAGCAGGGACGAAAGUCGGAGUAAGUUUUCCGCUGUCAGUACAUUUGUACAAGAGUGUGGUAUCGGCAGCGCUUUCGGAUAAAAGUUACGCCGGGGAUAACAGGCUUAUAGCGCCCAAUAGUUCACAUAGACGGCGCUGUUUGGCACCUCGAUGUCGGCUCAUCUCAUCCUGGGGCUGGAGCAGGUCCCAAGGGUCCGGCUGUUCGCCGGUUAAAGAGGUACGUGAGCUGGGUUCAGAACGUCGUGAGACAGUUCGGUUUAUAUCCGCUGUGGACGUCAAGAAAUUUGCAAGGAUUUGUCCCUAGUACGAGAGGACCGGGAUGAACGCACCGCUGGUGUAUCAAUUGUCAUACCAAUGGCAUUGUUGAGUAGCUAUGUGCGGACCAGAUAAGCGCUGAAAGCAUAUUAAGCGCGAAACUGACCUUAAGAUUAGAUUUCUCUAUGAGCCCCCAGAAAGACUAUCUGGUUGAUAGGCGCAAGGUGGAAGUACAGUAAUGUAUGUAGCUGAAGCGUACUAAUAGGGCCACAGACUUUUUACG